AAUGGUCAGUGAUGAUUCCGUUUUUGAUCGGACAUGGUUCAAAGUGUUUUACACCAUAAUAUUCGAGUGAAUCUUCUUAACCUCAACGUUUUAACAAUGUUUUGAUCGGUUUUGGGUGAUUUUUGGUGAGUUAUCGGUACCUAGGGUUUUCGGUGGUUUUGACUUGCUGAUUUACCGUCUUCCGGUGGUCCGAUUCUCAUCUCGUGGAUGUUUUGGGUAACUUUCCGACAUCGUUUCUCAUAUUUCCGGUGACUGAAUCGACGUCUGAACC
rnacentral:lncRNA from 1 species